CAGAGGUCCCGAGCGUUGUUCGGAUUCACUGGGCGUAAAGGGUGCGUAGGUGGCGAGGUAAGUCGGAUGUGAAAUCUCCGGGCUCAACCCGGAAAUGGCAUUGGAAACUACCUUGCUGGAGGAUUUGAGGGGGGAUUGGAAUACUUGGUGUAGCAGUGAAAUGCGUAGAUAUCAAGUGGAACACCAGUGGCGAAGGCGAAUCCCUGGAAAAUACCUGACACUGAGGCACGAAAGCUAGGGGAGCAAACAGGAUUAGAUACCCUGGUAGUCCUAGCCCUAAACGGUGCUUGCUUGCUGUAAGAGGAAUCGACCCCUCUUGUGGCGGAGCUAACGCGUUAAGCAAGCCGCCUGGGAAGUACGGUCGCAAGAUUA
rnacentral:rRNA from 1 species